AUUACCCUCUUUUCUUCUUAUUCUCUCUAGAUUAAGAAACUUAAAACUAUGAGUUCUAAAUUUUAGAUAAAAUGCUAAACUUGCUAAGUAGGGGGUGUUUAUAAAUGCAACAAGAAAAUUAAUUUAUGUUGUUUUCAUUAAAAAAAAAGACACAUAUAUUGUUAGUACAAAUGUUCAAUCUAUAAAAACAAACAAAAAAAAGGUACAAACUUGUUCAAAAUUAAUUAACUAAUUCAUACAGGUUAAUUAAGAAAAGCAUAAUCUAUAUAAUCAAACUAAUGUCAUACUCCAACAAUGUAAAGCAAAACUUGAAGAAGCGAGGUCGAAAUUAAUUAAGCCGAUAAAAAAAUAAAAAGAUGAUUCUUAUCGGUGAAGAAAACAUUGGUGUCUUGGUCUAGUUGAUGAUGAUGAGUGAAGGAAGUGUCUUUGUUGUCAUUAAUCCUCUCAUUGCUGCUAAUUAAAUUCCAAUGUGAAUGUGACCCUUUUGUGGAAGAAGCAAGUUUUUUCUCAAGCCUUCGCUUUCUAACAUAAUCUUCCGGAAUGAACACAUCCAUCUUAUCUUACUUCUAAGAUAAAGGUGUGAAACUAAAUGUAAUAUUAUUAGUAAAGAUGUGGAACAUGAUGUUUAUAUGCCUAUGUUACUAUGUACGAGACUAUUAAUUAAUGAGACAAGAUAGUGGAAUACCAG
rnacentral:lncRNA from 1 species